CUGGCGGCUGCCGGGGGCUGGCCAGGAACGCCCUGCAAGGCCGGGGUGCGGCCGCUCCGGCGCGCGCGUUCCCGGCAGCUAUGUUUUUUUGCAGCGAACGUAGAAAAGAGCCAGGCAUUCUUCCAGUACAGAAAGCCCAGUGAGCUCCCUCUGUUACAGGAGUCACUGCUGUCAGAGCCACAGCUGUAAAGAGAAACCCAGCUUUGCAAUGGAACGAAUGGGAUUGGAAGGGUCCACCAUUACUCCUGGAUUUUAUAUUGCCUCAGGUGCAGGGAAAUGUGGGAUCUUUAAAACAGUCACUGGAGCUUUUGAAAGCUGUUUGUAACCAACACGAUUCCCCCCCAAACUUUCGGCACCUUGGCAGCCAGGAGGACUUUUGCUCCUUGUGUUUCUCUUACUUUUUAAGAGCUGCAGAGCACAAAGAACCUCUCCAGGACUCCUGGAGAGCCGGAGUCACAUGCAUGGAGGCAACAUAGGCGCUUCAUCCUGCAACAGCUGC
rnacentral:lncRNA from 1 species